UGGCUCCAGCAGCCCCUGCUGUCUCCAGCACCUUCUCUAGUGAGCGCCAAGCCCCUGCCCGGAGGCUGGGCUGGCAGUGUAAACAUUGCAGCGGCGCGUCGCUACCCGGGGUCCUCCUCGUCCUCCCCCACCAGCACGUUAAAACCAGGCUC